GGAAUUAUGCUGAGCCAUAAAAGAACAAAAUUAUGCCUUCUGCAGCAACUUGGGUAGAGCUGGAGGUCGUUAUUCUGAGUGAAGCAACUCAGAAAUGGAAAACCAAAUAUGACCUGUUCUCACUUAUAAGUGGGAGCUGGGUUAUGAGAAUGAGAAGGCAUAAGAAUGAUAUAGUGGAAUUUGGUGACUUUGAGGGAGGAAGGUUUGGAGGGGGAUUAGGGAUAAAAGACUACAUAUCGGGUUCAGUGUGUACUGCCCAGGUGACAGUUACCCUAAAAUCUCAGAAAUCACCCCUAAAGAAUUCGUCCAUGUAACCAAAACUCACCUGUACCUCAAGAAUAUUGAAAUAAAAAUAAAAAUUAAAAAAGAAAUGCAGAUUCAUGGGCUCCACCUUCUGAAUCAGAAUCUCAGGAGCUGGGGUUGCAGCUUAACAAGCUCUCUGGUGAUUUACCUGCGUGCAAAGUUUGAGAACCACCAUCUUAAAGAGCUUUUACAUUAACCCUAGCUCCAGACAGUGAUGUUACCGAGCCACAGCUUGCCAGUGUGAGAAAUGACGGAAAGGAGGAAGACAAAACAGAAGCGACGUGGCCUGGGGAGAGAGGUGUUGGGGUGCUGGGGCUGCUUUCUGUCCACUGGGACCUAGAGGUAGGAGCAGACCCAGAGACCACACCCUCUCUGGAAGAAUUCAACAUGCAAUGAAGGAGGGUGAGUGGCUGUUUAUUUAU